rnacentral:rRNA from 1 species
GUGUCAGCAGCCGCGGUAAUACGUAGGGUGCAAGCGUUGUCCGGAUUUAUUGGGUUUAAAGGGUGCGUAGGCGGCCCUGUAAGUCAGUGGUGAAAUACUCCAGCUUAACUGGAGGGGUGCCAUUGAUACUGCAGGGCUUGAGUUAAGUUGAAGUUGGCGGAAUUGACGGUGUAGCGGUGAAAUGCUUAGAUAUCGUCAAGAACACCGAUAGUGAAGACAGCUAACUAAACUUUUACUGACGCUGAGGCACGAAAGUGUGGGGAUCAAACAGGAUUAGAUACCCUCGUAGUCC